rnacentral:rRNA from 1 species
GAUGAACGCUGGCGGCGUGCCUAAUACAUGCAAGUCGAGCGAACAGACGAGGAGCUUGCUCCUCUGACGUUAGCGGCGGACGGGUGAGUAACACGUGGAUAACCUACCUAUAAGACUGGGAUAACUUCGGGAAACCGGAGCUAAUACCGGAUAAUAUCUUGAACCGCAUGGUUCAAUAGUGAAAGACGGUUUUGCUGUCACUUAUAGAUGGAUCCGCGCCGCAUUAGCUAGCUGGUAAGGUAACGGCUUACCAAGGAAACGAUGCGUAGCCGACCUGAGAGGGUGAUCGGCCACACUGGAACUGAGACACGGUCCAGACUCCUACGGGAGGCAGCAGUAGGGAAUCUUCCGCAAUGGGCGAAAGCUUGACGGAGCAACGCCGCGUGAGUGAUGAAGGUCUUCGGAUCGUAAAACUCUGUUAUUAGGGAAGAACAAAUGUGUAAGUAACUAUGCACGUCUUGACGGUACCUAAUCAGAAAGCCACGGCUAACUACGUG